rnacentral:rRNA from 1 species
AAUGAACGCUGGCGGCGCGCCUAAUACACGCAAGUCGAGCGAGAAGACGUAGCAAUACGUUUGUAAAGCGGCGAACGGGUGAGGAAUACAUGGGUAACCUACCCUCGAGUGGGGAAUAACUAGCCGAAAGGUUAGCUAAUACCGCGUACGCUCCUUGGACUUCGGUUCAGGGAGGAAAGCGAUACCGUGGGUAUCGCGCUCUUGGUUGGGCUCAUGUCCUAUCAGCUUGUUGGUGAGGAACGGCUCACCAAGGCUUCGACGGGUAGCUGGUCUGAGAGGACGAUCAGCCACACUGGCACUGCGACACGGGCCAGACUCCUACGGGAGGCAGCAGUAAGGAAUAUUGCGCAAUGGGCGAAAGCCUGACGCAGCGACGCCGCGUGGGGGA